UACGUAGGGGGCAAGCGUUGCCCGGAUUUAUUGGGCGUAAAGAGCGUGUAGGCGGUUUGGUAGGUCCGUUGUGAAAACUCGAGGCUCAACCUCGAGACGCCGAUGGAAACCAUCAGACUAGAGUCCGGAAGAGGAGAGUGGAAUUCCUGGUGUAGCGGUGAAAUGCGCAGAUAUCAGGAAGAACACCCGUGGCUAAGGCGGCUCCCUAGUACGGUACUGACGCUGAGACGCGAAAGCGUGGGGAGCGAACAGG
rnacentral:rRNA from 1 species